rnacentral:rRNA from 1 species
UCAAGUCAUCAUGGCCCUUACGACCAGGGCUACACACGUGCUACAAUGGUCGGUACAAAGGGUUGCUACCUAGCGAUAGGAUGCUAAUCUCAAAAAGCCGAUCGUAGUCCGGAUUGGAGUCUGCAACUCGACUCCAUGAAGUCGGAAUCGCUAGUAAUCGCGGAUCAGAAUGCCGCGGUGAAUACGUUCCCGGGCCUUGUACACACCGCCCGUCACACCAUGGGAAUUUGUUGCACCAGAAGUAGGUAGUCUAACCGCAAGGAGGACGCUUACCACGGUGUGGCCGAUGACUGGGGUGAAGUCGUAACAAGGUAGCCGUAGGGGAACCUGCGGCUGGAUCACCUCCUUAA